rnacentral:rRNA from 1 species
UACGUAGGGGGCAAGCGUUGUCCGGAAUCAUUGGGCGUAAAGAGCGUGUAGGCGGCCCGGUAAGUCUGUUGUGAAAGUCCAGGGCUCAACCCUGGAAAGCCGAUGGAUACUGUCGGGCUCGAGUCCGGAAGAGGCGAGUGGAAUUCCUGGUGUAGCGGUGGAAUGCGCAGAUAUCAGGAGGAACACCAAUGGCGAAGGCAGCUCGCUGGGACGGUACUGACGCUGAGGCGCGAAAGCGUGGGGAGCAAACAGG